rnacentral:lncRNA from 12 species
GCCCUCUCCUCCCCAGGCCACAAGCAAACACGGCUGAGGGUGAAGGCCUGCAGAGGAAGAGUCACAUCAUGAAACCCAAGAGGGAAAGCAAACACCAAGGCAGCACCAUGUGCAGGAUGGAACAUUGCUGGUGCCAGUCCCAGUGCCACAGACACUGGAUGCACGCCAUUCCAUGCCCAGCUACUUCAAACACCAAGGUUUGCUACUGUAGGCAGGCUGUACCCAGGGAGGCAAACCUGCAUGCCAAAUCCAGGUGUCUGGGACACAGUUCAAAAGGAUCACUUGUAGGAACCAGUAUUAUAUCAAAGUGCUGGUAGGGUUGGCACAGAUUUUCCCCAAGCUGCAACAUCCCUGCAUCGUCUGCUACCAGCAAAACCAGGUUUUACUGAGUUCUCUUGCUCAGUCCUCAAAGUCAAAGCCAGGGCUGACAUCUCUGGGCACACAAUGGCGUGUGUGGCUAUAAAUAUACCCACUAGCAA